AGCUCACAGUGAGGCUGAGGAUCUGCUGCCCAGUACACAGGGAUCUGUGGAAAAUGUCUGGACACCACGGGGGACACUGUGGAAGAGGAGGCCAUGGCCAUGGUGGUCAUGGACAUGGACGCGGUCACGGUCAUGGACAUGGACAUGGACAAUGUGGUCAAGGCCAUGGACAUGGACAAUGUGGUCAAGGCCAUGGACAUGGACAAAGUGGAUGCCAUGGAGUGAAGCGCAGGUGCAAGCCCAAGCAUGGACGCAAGCAUAUCAAAUGUCACAAGAAGGGAAAGGAAUGU